AGAAGGAAAGUUUCUGCUGUGUUGCUGGAGAAUUUCCGAGGAUGGCAGAUGCUGAAAAAGAUCCUUUGCUGGUUUGGAGGUUGCUCUUUUAUAGUUGGAGAAUCUCAUCCAUCUAGGGUUUUGAAAUCCCUUCUUGACUUGGUCUUUGAUUCCUCUUUGGAUGUGGAUUUUAAUUGUAAAAGGAAUUCCUUAGGUGAGAAAUUGUCUCGUGGCU
rnacentral:lncRNA from 1 species